rnacentral:lncRNA from 1 species
AUGAGUCUUUGUUUUGUGACUUACUUAGAGAGAAAGAGGCGUCGUUAUUUGAGAGAACGGGCCGUGGUGGAGAUGUUACACGACCCCACGUUUAUUCCUCAGAAUUCUGAUCCAAAUUCCAGUCCAAACCAAGGCCAUGAUCCUGAGAGAGUCAGGCGUACACCAAGUAUGUGGCAUAUGUGCACAAGGUCUGCACCAGCCCCUGUGAAAGUAACUGAAAGACUGGAUAGAGUAGAGAGUAAUCAGGAAGGUAGGAUGGAGGAACUGUCUGCUGUGCUUCAUCGUGAUGAGCCCUGUGAACCCGUGCCUGCAUCAUCCAGUGUCUCAGCUGUUAAGACGUCCUCCUGGCUUGCGGAAUCAAACUCUAUAAUCCAGAGAUGGGUUAUAAAGCAGGUAUGUUUAUUCCAGCGUUGCGCAGUGCCAGGUGCAAGGGGGAUAGCUCCUUCAAACUUGCACACCGACUUGUAAAAUCGGGACACAGUUAUAGGUACAUUUAAUACAUAGUCAAUGAUUUCUCGGAAUUCUGAUACAUAGUCAAUGAUUUCUUAGACUUCUAAUACAUAGUCAAUAGUUCUAGGAAUUCUGGUACAUAUUCAAUAGCUCUUUAGCAUACAGACCCCCUCUUUGUCUUUAGCAUACAGGACCCCUUGUUCUUAUCAGGGGAAUGCAACUCCUCUUCUGGUCGUCCGUGAGUUUCACACCUUAUCUGCAUCCUCCCUGCUCUCUCAAGCCCCUUGUUUCUUUUACUUGUUACCUUUAAGUUUCUUUUACUUAUUUCUAUAAACUACCUUUAAGUUUCCUUUACUUGUUUCUAUAAACUACCUUUAACUAUCCCCCUUUUAGCCCCCCUUUAUUCCGAAUUCCAGCAGAACAUCUGUUUCCUGCUUCACUGUUCAAUCCAGCUCAAGCAAGUGACAACAGUAAGAUUAUGUUGCGUAUUGCCUUGUGGAAUUGCUUGCGUGAGCAUGGAGAAAAUAUGAAGAAGUGGCAUAAAAAAAACCCCUCCUGCACUUCAAGCAUGCAUAAAAGAAUAGCAAGACAGAUCAGCCUCCAUGGCGAUCUCUUCUAAAAAGGUGAUCGCUCCAGUUGCUGUGGGACGGGAUUAUUGUACUGUAUUGUGUUAUCUUGCAUUCCGAUAUUACAUUUAGUAAAUUAGCUUUCCUCCUCAGAUUGUUGCCGCUGUUUUGUUUUUAGGCUCAUCUCCCUACCCUUUCCCCCAUUUCCUGACCCUCUUUCUACCCUGUAGAAGUCUCUCCCAACCCCCCAGCUUUCCCCUUCCACCCCUCACCUCCCCUUCAGGCCCCCUUUACUCCCCUUAGAAGAAGCCUUACUCACCCCAUUCCCCCCUACACAUCUUCCUCCCCAUUGCCCCAAGUUUCAAGUUUCCCCUCCAGGCUCCCUUUCCACCCCAUAGAAACCUAUCCCCUGUCUUCCUCACCAGUGUUGUUUUUUUCUUUUGAUUUUUUCU